GCGAACGGGAUUAGAUACCCUGGUAGUCCACGCUGUAAACGAUGUCGAUUUGGAGGUUGUGCCCUUGAGGCGUGGCUUCCGGAGCUAACGCGUUAAAUCGACCGCCUGGGGAGUACGGCCGCAAGGUUAAAACUCAAAUGAAUUGACGGGGGCCCGCACAAGCGGUGGAGCAUGUGGUUUAAUUCGAUGCAACGCGAAGAACCUUACCUACUCUUGACAUCCAGAGAACUUAGCAGAGAUGCUUUGGUGCCUUCGGGAACUCUGAGACAGGUGCUGCAUGGCUGUCGUCAGCUCGUGUUGUGAAAUGUUGGGUUAAGUCCCGCAACGAGCGCAACCCUUAUCCUUUGUUGCCAGCGGUUCGGCCGGGAACUCAAAGGAGACUGCCAGUGAUAAACUGGAGGAAGGUGGGGAUGACGUCAAGUCAUCAUGGCCCUUACGAGUAGGGCUACACACGUGCUACAAUGGCAUAUACAAAGAGAAGCGACCUCGCGAGAGCAAGCGGACCUCAUAAAGUAUGUCGUAGUCCGGAUUGGAGUCUGCAACUCGACUCCAUGAAGUCGGAAUCGCUAGUAAUCGUAGAUCAGAAUGCUACGGUGAAUACGUUCCCGGGCCUUGUACACACCGCCCGUCACACCAUGGGAGUGGGUUGCAAAAGAAGUAGGUAGCUUAACCUUCGGGAGGGCGCUUACCACUUUGUGAUUC
rnacentral:rRNA from 1 species